ensembl:lncRNA
UGUGUGUGUGUGUGUGUCUGUGUGUGUGUGUGUGUGUGUGUGUGUGCACUUUAGCAUUAAGUGUCAGAGGGUGUGGUUGUUAUCACGCUCUACCAGUCUGGGUGACACUCUUCUCAGUCAACGACACGGCCGGCAGAGAGACAGAGGGAGGGAGACGGAAAAGGAAAUGUCAAGAUUGGCAAUUAUCUCAGCAUCCACAAACCCUUCCACUACCUGCUCUGACAGAUGUGGACUCCGUGUCAGAUUCGCCCCAUAGACGGCCACUCUCUGAAGUUCGCAGGCCGGCAGAAACAGGGAUCUGAUGUCGGUCUCUAGACCUCUAUGAAGCUGGUGCAACUAAAACAAAAUCAAACUAGACAGCUAGCGUUCCUUUGAGAUGUGCCGAUUGAUGCCAUACAUAUAUCCGGUGUGCUGGUUUGGUCUCUGAGGCGGUGUAGCACUAUAUUUCAACAUCACUUUGUGUCAAAAGCUGACAGCAUGUUGACAUUCAUUCGGAUAAAAAAUUUUUUAAAUCAUAAUGUGAUUUGUAAUUUGACUACUCUGCUUGUGCUGAUGUGUGUUAUUUCGAUGGCAAUGUACACAGGGUUUUAUUAUACAAAUCAAUUGUGUCAUGUGGUGUGAUGCUACACACACUGUAUUUACUGAGCUCUGUAGAGAUGUACCCUUAUGCUUUGACACACCCAUACAUCAACAAAGAACACUUCGUAUGGCACACACACACACAGCGCACCACACACGCACACAGCACCACACACACACAGCACCACACAGACACAGCACCACACACACACAGCACCACACACACACAAACACACACACAGCACCACACACACACAGCACCACACAGACACAGAACCACACAAACACAAACACAGCACCACACACACACAGCACCACACACACACAGCACCACACAGACAGAGACACAGCAUCACACAGACACACACACAGCACCACACAGACACAAACACAGCACCACACACACACAAACACACACACAGCACCACACACACACAGCACCACACAGACACAGAACCACACAAACACAAACACAGCACCACACAAACACAGCACCACACAGACACAAACACAGCACCACACACACACAGCACCACACAAACACGGCACCACACACACACAGCACCACACAAACACAAACACAGCACCACACAAACAAACACAGCACCACACAGACACAGCGCCACACAAACACAGCACCACACAAACACAGCACCACACACACACACACACACAGCACCACACAAACACAAACACAAACACAGCACCACACACACACAGCACCACACACACACAAACACAGCACCACACACACACAGCACCACACAGACACAGCACCACACAAACAUAGCACCACACACACACAGCACCACACACACACAGCACCACACAAACACAGCACCAAACAAACACAAACACAGCACCACACACACACACACACAGCACCACACAAACACAAACACAGCACCACACAAACACAAACACAGCACCACACAAACAAACACAGCACCACACAGACACAGCACCACACACACACAGCACCGCACAGACUCAGCACCACACACACACAGCACCACACAAACACUGCACCACACAAACACACACACAGCACCACACAAACACAAACACAGCACCACACAAACACAGCACCACACAAACACACACACAAACACAGCACCACACACACACACACACAAACACAGCACCACACACACACAGCACCAAACAAACACAGACACAAACACAGCACCACACACACACAGCGCCACACAAACACAGCACCACACACACACAGCACCACACAAACACAAACACAGCACCACACACACACAGCACCACACAGACAGUGGGUGGUAUUUCAUCUCCUUUCAGAUUGGCUACCAGUCUUAUCUCUUGACACGGCCUAUUCUUAGCGAUCUGGUCCAACAACUCUAUUUUUGUGCUUUCACUUUCUUACGGGCUGAAACAAUUAACUACCUUUAACUGCAGCUGUUGCCCUGGAACAAUACAGACCAAAGAGGAGAGGCACAUUGCUGGGAUGCUGAUGAAGUCAUCCACUGAUUCAGGCUAAAAGCCUUUACGUAAGCUUGUUAGCAUUUUAAUUUAGUGUUCCUUGUUCCUACAUACUGGGACAUAUUUGAACAGGUAAACUAGACCGCAAUUAGGACAAUGGCUGCAGCUUGGCCACGUGUCAAAGUGUCACUGGGACGGUAAGGGAAGAGCUGUCAAACAGUUGUACUCCAACUUUCUACUUUCUAUCACUGCAACUUACAAAUCUUAGCAAGUAGCUGUUUUCUGUCUGUAGGCUAUCAGGACAGUGUUGGUCUUGAUGCCUGUGGAAGCCUAAAGAAGUGCUUGUGUAACUUUUGCUGUGAGAGGCAGUCCUGUAUUGAACUCAUAUCUGAAGCCGUGACCAUGCCAGCAAGGAGGCUCAAAACCAUUGCUGUUAGCAUCUCUCACUAGCACGUCUCUCAAGGCAUUGGGGAGUAAGGUUUACGCACUGCACAGCUCUGCACACCUGCUGGACGAUGUUACAGUUGCAAUUACACUUCUGUAGGGGUUGACCCUGGCACGAGCCCAAGGGUGAGUCCUUGGUCCCUGGUUGGUUGAUCAGUGUUGCUAAUCAGCGGUGGUUUGUGUGUUCUGACUAAGUCCUCCACCUCUUUGCUCAACUUAAUACUAUCUGACAGGCCAUUCAUUAUGGAUGGCGGUAGACUUCAUUUUUCACAUCAUAGUCCUCCAACUUGAUUUUUCAACACCAGCAUCUUCUACUACAGAAGCGCAUUGCAUUCACAAAAGAAAAGCUAUUAUAAUUAUGACUUACUUUCUUAUAAUUAAGAAAAAAAAAAUCAUAAUUAUUACUCUCUUUAUAGGACAAUGUGUCUACAGGAGCAAUAUUUAUAGAAUAGCUUUUGAUAUAGUUGAUCACUACUUCCUUCAAGACAAACAUUCUUUAUGGUUCAAGUCAUAUCUUCACUACCGACGUCAGUGUGUCUGUGGCAGUGUUUUCAGGGCAGUCAGUCAGGCUUCAUGGUCAUGGCAAAAGGUUCAGGCUGUUGCUGUUCUCUAUUUUCAUUAAUGAUUUCCACACAAAUAUGCUCUGACUGUCAUAUUCAGUUAUAUGCAGAUGAUACUGUGAUGUAUUUUUCCAGUCCUGACAUUUCACAAAUCCACUGUACAUCACAGGCUGUACAUUUUUUCCUCCAAUAUUCAAUUGGAAAAGAAGAAGUCUUAUGUUGUCUUAUGUUUCUUAGUCUGAUGUUGUGUGGCACUAGAUCUGACCUUUUGCUUCAAACCAAUAAUUGGUCAAUUCAUGUUUUAGAUGAGACACCACUCAAGAAAGUUGAGGAAUUUAAAUACUUGGGUCUCUGACUUGAUUCCCAACAGUCUUUUAAUUGGGUGAUGUGCCUUUACAUAUAAAACCCGUACAUUGGAAUAACCUGCCUAGUUCGCUUAGAUCUGUUGACUCAAUAACUCAUGUUUCACUAUGACCCCGGGACCCCCCCCGGGAUUUCCAGCUCAGUGUUAACGCUUUGCUGUAACAGUUGAACAAAAUGAUACCACUUCCUUCAAAGAAUGUAGAUGUAGAACUUCCUCUUCGUCACUCUUUCAGCCUGCUUAUCUCGCACCAUCUGGAAGCUAUUUGGCCUUGAGCAGUACGUAGAUUAUUUUUAAAAAACGUUUUGAAAAAUGUCCGGGGCUAAUGGAGUUUCAUAUAUAUCUGAUAAUGAAAAUUAAAGUGAAGUGGAAACAGUGUCAAACUGUUUUUUUUUUUUAUGAAUGUCACAGUGCCCCCUGCAGCCGGAGAUAUGUAUUGCAUGUUUCUAUGUAUUGCCUUGCUUCCUCAAAAUGCAUCAUCUUUAGCAAAGACAUUUGAAGACAUCAACACCAGCAUCUUCUCCAGUUUUACUGAUGUUGAUAGAUUAUAUACAAUGCUGUUAGAUUAAGCACUACUAUUAGCACUUCUGAGUUGCUUUAAAGAUCUACUCAGAUGACCUGGAUGGAUGACUUGAUGAAGAAGCUGUUAGUGUUGAGUCCAAAUUGUGCAAAUGAACGACAGAUUGUAUGCCUGUGAUUUUAAAAACUGCCUGACUGACACACACACAGUACCAUGAGUUAGCUUCAAGCCUCAGCAUUCAGUGACUGAUUUAAGAUGAUGUCAUUUUUGUGGGAGUGAGCUUGCUUCUGGGUCAGUUUUCUCCAGCCCAUAAAAGGACAACAUCUGACACAAAUGAUCAUCAAAACAGGCAGCUGUUAGCCAAGCAUGAACCUAUAACUAUUACACCAGAUUAGACCGAUCACAUUGAGUAUGAGUAUGACAUUGAGUAUAACUUAAAUGUACUAUACUAUAGAGUUUCUUUCAGUACUUUGCCCAGUUGGCAGAAGUGUAACUCUCUGUGUGCGUGUGAGUUAUGUUGGUGUGUGAGUGUGAAUAUUAGCCUAUGUGUCUGUGAGUGUGUGUGUGUGAGUGUGUGUGUGUGUGUGUGUGUGUGUGUGUGCCUGAGUCAGUGAUACCAGUCCAGUAUUUCCACGGAUACUGGAUUUCCAAGGAUACUGUACGUCAUUUGCUACUUCUGAAACCCAUCACCACUUCCUCCUAAUAUCCCUCUACACCCACAUGAAUUCACCGUCUCCAUAGCAACACCGGUCCUUGCCCAAAUGUCUGCAUUCCCCCACAUUGGUCUCACGGCAACCGUCACUAAGCAACCCCAUCUUCCUAGCCCUUACUUGUCCUGCUUGUGUAGGUGUUCUGGAGCUAGGGAGGCUGGGAAUUAGAGGAGGUCAGGUGGGCUGAGAGAAACAGAGAGGAGGAGGGAAGAAAAUAGAUUUAGCAGAAGAGUUUUGUUUAUGUGUGUGUGGUGUGUGUGUGUGUGUGUGUGAGUUAGUGAGAGAGAGAACAUACGUUUUUAAGUCGCUGCAAGUUUAUAAUGAAGUACCACUUGAAUGUUUUAAAUAGAUGUUGGAAUAUCAAUGUCAUGUAGUUGUUGAAUGAUUCAAUAACAACAUGGUGGACCAGACUGUUUGUCAUCCGAGAAGUAGGCCCACUACAGUGUAGGCUACUAUCCAUUUAAGUUAUAGAAACGUCACAAAUAAUACCAACAAUGUCAGGUCUAACAUUAGCUGACUUUUGUACACGUUUGGGCUAAGUCUAUGUUAGAGCAGGGCCAGAUCGUUUCCACCAGUCAGCUGUUGUAUGGGUUAAACUUGAUUGACAAGACAGGAGCAACAAUAACAGGCUCUGUACCAGACCUACCGGGGAACUUUUUCAACUGUAUUUCCCUAUAUGAUGUUCUUCCACUCCCCACUGACGUCCAUCAAUAGGCUAAGCCCUAUGAGCCAUGCCUAUAAUCAAACGCUCGAUAUUUGGAAAUACGUCUAAUUAAAUAUGAGAGACCGAAGUUUUGCAUAUGAUUUGCAAAUUGGCAAGUUAUCCAGAGGACCUUCAAUGGUACGUCUGCCAUUUGACGUAGCUCAUGCUAGUUGAGUUUGCGCUAAGUGGAACCUGUUGUCUUGCAGUGAUAUUGAAAGUGGGACAGUUUUGCAUUGGCGGCGCGAGCAUCAUCGCCUCGCUGCACCGCUAACUGACUUUUAAAAAGCAGGAACAAACUUGUUAGCCCCUCUAUUAAAAUUCUGUUAGCACGCGAGUGAAGGACUCUCCACUGGUGUACGGAUGUUAAAUAGUACAGCAAACUGAAAUAUUGCCACGCUAUGGGAAAUACCACCCUAAGGUAAGUUUAAUUAGUUUAUUUGAUUGUAUUAAUCUAUAGCCCACGUCAUGCCCGCUAUAUCUAUCUGCCACUGUGUGGGGUAUCCUUCACUUGGAUUGCCAUGAAACUGACAAUAGCCUUGUUAAGCUAAUUAAAUUAGAGCUUUAAAAUGUGGUGUGUGCAACGUGCGUCAAACAGACUUGCCCCAAGUACCACAAAAUCAACAGUCUGGGAAGCUAACCUGUCUUUAUCCCCUAAAUCAGUUUAUAGUCUAGUCAAUUGUUUUUACUUUAUUUAACCUAACGUUGCCUCCAAAGCCCCCUUGAACUUGUCGAGAUUGGUCGGAGAAGUGCAAGUUCACGCUGAACUUUUGUCACUCUCUCAUAAGCUAACUAGCUAACAUUAUACAUGUCAGUGGCACUUCAGUAAAGUUUGAAAGGUAUUCACAUAUUCUAAGUUCCCGGGUCAAUAACUCAUAGACGAAAUGUUGUGAAAACACAGACGAUGUCUCUUUCCAACCAUAACAAGGUUACAAAACCAGCUAUCCUCCAAGCUGGAUAUACAGCAUUGGUCCCUAUAGCAGCCUGCAGUGAAGGAAGGGCGUAGGGACCGUCUACAAAGUGCAACACCGAAAAGAAAUACUCAAAAAAAUAUCGAGUAACUUCACUCUUACAGUGUAGUAUCACCCACAUCAGUGGUCUCCUGUUGAUUAUAUUACAACACUGAGUUUUGAGAAAAGGCUUUUGCAGAAUUUAACACAGUACUCAAAAUUAGGUUGUAACUCGUUUUCUACCUUUUUAUGGUUGGAAAGAGACAUUGUUUGUGUUUUAACAACGUUUCGCUUAUGACUUAUUGACCUGGACCUGUAAAUAUCUUUCCAACUUUACUGAAGUGUCAGUGCCAAGGUCCUGAGGGUAACUUGUCAAGUGACAACAUGCCUGCCGGUCAAAUUUAACUUUUUGUGUACUGUAUGAGGUGGCACUACUUGACAAAAUGUUUCAGAAUAAGGACCAGAGUAACCUUUUUUGCUUGUAAAAUGGGUGAAUUGGACCUUUAGUGUCCACUGGUGGAUGUAUUCAGAUACUUUGCUGCUCACUACAAGAAGCUAUUUUGUCAGGUAACAUAGCGGAAAACUUUAGCCUCUGUUCCAGCAGAUGCUGAUACCUGCACUGAAACGUUAAGAAAUGGGCACUGCUGGGUAUAACCAGUGCAGUGUAACAUUGACAAGCAAUCUAUCAAAAGACAAAUAGGCAAGGAGGCGCUCAAUUGUUUCAGUAAACAAUUUUGUUCAGAUUUGUGAGUGUUUAGCCUGUGUGUGUGUGUGUAUGAGUGUCCUAAUUUUCUCAUGGUUAGUUUGGGUACUGUAGACUUCUUUCGCAGUAAGGUGGAGCUCAUUGCAAACUAUCUACGGACAUGAUUCAGAAUGUGCCAAGUAACCUGACCGUAUUUGGUGUUAAUUUCGACAAAAUUGUAACGGUUAAUUUCCUAAUAUAUGACAGACUUUGGCCAAACAACCAUGUUGUAAUGUUUCAUCAGACUUGUUUCUUGUUACUGCAUAUUAAAGAGGACUUAUUAUGCUUUUCUGGUGUAGCUUUUUGUGCAUGUAAACAUUGUGCACAUCUAAUAGAGUGUUGCAAAGCGUAGAACUCUUGAAUAUUCGAUUGUAACCAAGGAGAGAUAUUAAUCAUGACCCAGUGGUCUCUGGUAGGGCUGAACGAUUUGGGAAAAUAAUCUAAUUGCGAUUUUUUACCAAAAUAUUGCGAUUGCGAUUCGAUAUGCGAUUUUUUUUUUUAUCCUCUUUUUUUCCCAACAAAACAUAAUGAAUGGUUUAAAUAUGACCAACACAAUAUUAGAUACAUUUAGUGUAAAAUAUUCUUUCCCACAUUUUACAUUUUUAUUUAACUGCUCAUUACAGAAACAAGAACAACAAAUCAGUGGCUUUGCCACUGUGCAUUUAAGUAAUUUAAAAAAAGUAAUUUUAAGUAUAAACACUAGGCAUGCACUUUUUAAACACUGUGUGCAAAAUGUACCAUCUU